rnacentral:tRNA from 1 species
GCCGGAGUAGCUCAGCUGGUAGAGCAACCGAUUUGUAAUCGGUAGGUCGUGGGUUCGAGUCCCUCCUCCGGCU